rnacentral:rRNA from 1 species
GACGAACGCUGGCGGCGUGCCUAAUACAUGCAAGUAGAACGCCGUUGCGAACGGGUGAGUAACGUGUCUGUAACUUCCUCAUUGCGGGGGAUAACUUUUGGAAACGUUAGCUAAUACCGCAUUCUUUGAGAUGGACCUGCGUUGUUUUAGCUAGUUGGUGGGGUUAAGGCGCACCAAGGGGACGAUACAUAGCCGACCUGAGAGGGUGGACGGCCACACAGGGACUGGGACACGGCCCAGACUCCUACGGGAGGCAGCAGUAGGGGAGCUGUGGCAAUGGACGGAAGUCUGACCGAGCAACGCCGCGGGAGUGAAGAAGGUUUUCGGAUCGGAAAGCUCUGUUGUUAGGGAAGCGGUAACUAACAAGAAAGGGACGACUAACUACGUGCCAGCAGCCGCGGUAAUAC